UGCAAGUCGAACGUGAAAGUCCCGCAAGGGAUGAGUAAAGUGGCGAACGGGUGAGUAAUACAUAGGUAAUCUACUUAUAAGCUCGGGAUAACAGUUCGAAAGGACUGCUAAUACCGAAUAAUGUAUCGCAUCACAAGAUGCGAUACCAAAGAUGGCCUCUUAACAAUGCUAUCGAUUAUAAAUGGGCCUAUGGACCAUUAGUUAGUUGGUAGGGUAAUGGCCUACCAAGACAAAGAUGGUUAGCUGGUCUGAGAGGAUGAUCAGCCACACUGGAACUGAAACACGGUCCAGACUCCUACGGGAGGCAGCAGUGGGGAAUAUUGCGCAAUGGGGGAAACCCUGACGCAGCAACGCCGUGUGAGCGAUGAAGGCCUUCGGGUUGUAAAGCUCUGUUAAAUAAGAAGAAACUCCCAUAUUCUAAUACAAUAUGGGAUUGACGGUAUUAUUAGAGAAAGCACCGGCUAACUCCGUGCCAGCAGCCGCGGUAAGACGGGGGGUGCAAGCGUUGUUCGGAAUUACUGGGCGUAAAGGGCGUGUAGGCGGUUUAAUAAGUUAGGUGUGAAAUCUUCAGGCUCAACCUGAAAAGUGCACUUAAAACUGUUAGACUAGAGAGUGGUAGGGGGAAGCGGAAUUCCU
rnacentral:rRNA from 1 species